rnacentral:rRNA from 1 species
AUGGCGUGGGUGGACCGGGACGUCCUGGCGGACGAGGCCGACCGCCGGCGGGCCGAGUCGGCGCGCAAGAUCGACCUGCAGGGGAGCCUGCUGGAGGUGCUCGAGUCGGAGCGCCUCGUCCUGCUGGGCGAGAACGCACGCCUCGCCUUCCGCGCCACCGCCGCCGAGGAGGAGGCCGCCGCGGCGGCAGCCGAGCUCGGCUACACGCGCCGCCGCGCCGCAGACCUGGCCCGGCUCGCCGUGAAGCUGCGGGACGACCACCGGGUGUGCAUCCUCGGGCGGAAGGUCGAGGCGCUGCAGGCGCAGGUGUACGGGCUGGAGCUCCGCAACCGCGAGUGCUUCGAGGCCAUGGCCGCAUGGGAGGCCGAGCGCAAGGUCGGCGUCGCCGAGAUCGACCGCCUCCGCGCCGAGAACCGCCGCCUCGCCGCAGAGGCCGCCGUCGCCGCGCAGGCGUCGUCGAGGAGGAAGCGUGGGGGCGGCAAGGGUGGCGGGAGCAGCGGGUGGUGGUGGCUUGCGAGGGUGCGACUGGCGGCGGAGUGGACGCCGUGCGCGCCGACGUCGGUGACGGUGAGGAAGGUCGGCGAGCAGAUGAAGGGCGGCAAGUACAACGGCGGCUGCUUCUGCAUGUAG